GACGAACGCUGGCGGCGUGCUUAACACAUGCAAGUCGAACGGAAAGGCCCUGCUUUUGUGGGGUGCUCGAGUGGCGAACGGGUGAGUAACACGUGAGUAACCUGCCCUUGACUUUGGGAUAACUUCAGGAAACUGGGGCUAAUACCGGAUAGGAGCUCCUGCUGCAUGGUGGGGGUUGGAAAGUUUCGGCGGUUGGGGAUGGAUUCGCGGCUUAUCAGCUUGUUGGUGGAGUAGUGGCUUACCAAGGGUUUGACGGGUAGCCGGCCUGGGAGGGUGAACGGCCACAUUGGGACUGAGAUACGGACCAGACUCCUACGGGAGGCAGCAGUGGGGAAUAUUGCACAAUGGGCGGAAGCCUGAUGCAGCAACGCCGCGUGCGGGAUGACGGCCUUCGGGUUGUAAACCGCUUUCGCCUGUGACGAAGCGUGAGUGACGGUAAUGGGUAAAGAAGCACCGGCUAACUACGUG
rnacentral:rRNA from 1 species